GCUAAAUACCUAGCCCCACCUUUCUUCUGUUCUAAAACUUACCUUUUUCCUUAAAUCAAAACAUUUUCUAAGUCAAGUAGAGGUGAUCAAAAAACUUCUGGGCGCCAUAGAUAUAGUACCGCAAGGGAAAGAUGAAAUAGAAAUGAAAUAACUUUAAAGCACAACAUAGUAGAGUUUACCCCUCGUACCUUUUGCAUCAUGGUUUAACUAGUCUAAUCAAGCAAAAAGAUUUUUAGUUUGAACCCCCGAACCUAGGCGAGCUACUUUAGGACAGCUUUUUGAGCGAACCCAUCUCUGUUGCAAAAUAGUGGGACGAUCCUAAGGUAGAGGUAACAAGCCUAACGAGCCUAGUGAUAGCUGGUUGCCUUAGAAAAGGAUCUUAGUCCCGCUUAAAGUCAAAUAAAUCUAUAAAAAUUUCUUUAAAGCAAUUCAAAUAAGGUACAGCCUAUUUGAAAAAGGAUACAACCUCCACUACUGGGUUAUAUAAAUAAUAAUAAUAUCUAAGUAGGCCUAAGAGCAGCCACCUUCUACGAAAGCGUCAAAGCUCAAUUAUUUAUUUAUUAAAUUUCUUAGUUAAUCUCUAUCCCUUAUUCCCCAAAAGGCAAAUCUAUAUACUUAUAGAAAAUUUUAUGUUAAAACUAGUAAUAAGAAGCAGACCCUUCUCUCCCAAUGUAAGUUUCCAUCAGUAAGGCCAUCCCGCUGAUAAUCACCGCCACUAAUAAUGAAAUAGCAACUGACCAAGAAAAAUCUAUUACAUUUCACGUUAACCUAACACCAGAGCAUUCAGAGAAAGAUUAAAAGAAAAAGAAGGAACUCGGCAAAUAUUAGUCUCGCCUGUUUACCAAAAACAUCGCCUCUUGAACUACAAUAAGAGGUCCAGCCUGCCCAGUGACACUGUUCAACGGCCGCGGUAUCCUAACCGUGCGAAGGUAGCGUAAUCACUUGUUCUUUAAUUGUGGACUAGUAUGAAUGGCCCCACGAAGACUAUACUGUCUCCUUUUUCUAAUCAAUGAAACUAAUCUCCCCGUGAAGAAGCGGGGAUGACUCUAUAAGACGAGAAGACCCUAUGGAGCUUUAAACAACUGAAGUAUUUGCUUUUACUUAACACCUUCAGAAAACUAAACAUAUUUAAGCAUUUUUAACUUCUAGUUUUAGGUUGGGGUGACCACGGAGUAAAACUUAACCUCCGCGCUGAAAGACAAACCUUCUUAGCAAAAAGCCACAUCUUUAUGCAUCAUCAAACUGACUUACAUUGACCCAAUUAUUUGAUCAACGAACCAAGUUACCCUAGGGAUAACAGCGCAAUCUACUUCAAGAGCCCGUAUCGACAAGUAGGUUUACGACCUCGAUGUUGGAUCAGGGUAUCCUAGUGGUGCAGCCGCUACUAAAGGUUCGUUUGUUCAACGAUUAAAACCCUACGUGAUCUGAGUUCAGACCGGAGUAAUCCAGGUCAGUUUCUAUCUAUAAAAAGAUUUUUCUAGUACGAAAGGACCGAAAAAUCAUGGCCAAUAGAAUUGCUAAGCCAUAAAUACUAAGUUGUGUUUACUAACUUAAUAACUAACAUUUUUACCACUUUCCUCAAGAAUAGAGGGCAUUGAAA
rnacentral:rRNA from 1 species